rnacentral:rRNA from 1 species
UACGGAGGGGACUAGCGUUGUUCGGAAUCACUGGGCGUAAAGCGCACGUAGGCGGCUUUUUAAGUCAGGGGUGAAAUCCUGGAGCUCAACUCCAGAACUGCCUUUGAUACUGAGAAGCUUGAGUCCGGGAGAGGUGAGUGGAACUGCGAGUGUAGAGGUGAAAUUCGUAGAUAUUCGCAAGAACACCAGUGGCGAAGGCGGCUCACUGGCCCGAUACUGACGCUGAGGCACGAAAGCGUGGGGAGCAAACAGG